AAAAAGGCAAACCCGCGGUUUGCGUGCCAACGUUUGACUGUCCGUCUUAUAUGAAAUUUUUUUAUAAUUAGUAUUUUCAUUGUUGUUAGAUGAUAAAACAUGAUGAAUACUUUAUGCGUGACUUAUCUUUUUAAUUUUUUUCAUAAUUUUUUUAAAUAAGACGGACGGUCAAACAUUGGACAUGGAAACCAGGGUUUGUCUUUUU
rfam:Oryza sativa Japonica Group DNA, chromosome 12, cultivar: Nipponbare, complete sequence.